AUUUUAAACGAAAAAACUGAAGAUCGCACACGUCACAAAUUUUGGUAACUGGUAAAUAUAACAUGUGCUCUUUUGAGUUUCUUUUGUGGCCAGUUUGGAUUAAAUUUGUUCCAAUGGCAGUUGAUUGACGUUGAUGGUUUGGGACAGAUCAAGGGCAUCAUAUUCACUGUAGUAGAUGUUAACUUAAUUAUAAAUAAAUGGUAAAAAUG
rnacentral:sRNA from 1 species